rnacentral:misc_RNA from 1 species
GCAUGGAAAGCAAUUUUGCCCAAUCAUAAAUAGGGCUAUUGUGGGGGGAUGGUGUAUGCCGCUGGCGCAUUUCAUACAUCCGAGUGUAAUGGUAACGAGAUAGAGGCGUCGCGCGGGGAUAUCGGCCGGUUAGCACCAUGGAAUAUGGGAUUUGGAGUCUUCACGUUGCGGGUGAACUUUGGGGAGACCCGCGCCUCGCCCGUAGACAUCCAAUCUUACCCCCAAAUGCGACACAAAUACUUCCGAGGGCUGCUUUAGCCCUAAGUGCCCUACAUCAGCCAACAAAUAUGGUACCUUUACCGUUAACAUUAUCUGGGCCACCCUAUGGCCCAAUGGAAUUGGUUACGAAAUCUUCCGGCAGUACUAACGAUUUAGAAUCGGUCAAAGAUGAAAAUAACGAUACUUUUCGUCGCGAAGAUAAUGACGAUGGCGAUGAUAACGAAGGCAACGAAAAAAACAUCGAAAAGCCCGACGAAAAUGAAAAUCAAACUUCCGAACAAAUCGAGAAUAACGAGAACGAAGAUGAAGAGGAAAGCGAUAGCGGAAGUACCGGAAGUUCGCAUAAGUCGGCUAACAACAAUUUUGCUACGAAAUUGUUAGAUCCUAUAUCCUGUUUAGGUCUCGAUAAGGAAGGGGCAGUGUCGCCAGUAUUAAAUGGUUGGGUAUUAGGCGCUUAUACAGCAAUGUUAGGAAGAUUAUCAGCAGCUACUGCAGCUUUAGAAGCUACGCAAAUUCCUAAUAUGCCUUCUGAUAGUGAUUCCGAGAGUGAGCACUCUUCUUACACGGAAAGGUCAAGAGGUAGUAGUCCAAAUGCAAAUAACAUUCAUCGAGGAUAUUCAUGUGGUUCUUGCGACGUAGUAGCACCAACGCGACCAGCUUUAAGAAAGCACAUAGCGGAUUGUCACCCAACAUUAAAUGGUACAGAAACAAGGGAAUCCAGGACUUGUCCCGCCUCUGGCUGCGAUUUUACAACGAAUAGUAGAUGCGACAUGGAGACACAUGUAGCAGCACACGUGGCACAAGGAAUGACACCUACUGGAAAGAAACGUACGCUGGCCUUGCAACGCGUCAGGUAUAGAUACGAAAGGGAGGAAUAUCGAUGCUCUCUAUGUUCCUAUGCCUGUACGAUCGAGAAAGCUUUCCAAAGGCAUUUGAGAGCACACGCGAGAGGUACAGCACCAGAAACAAGAGUUAGUUGUGCAGUAUGCGGUGCCGAUAGAUCAUCUGAAGUUGAUCUUAGUAGACACAUGAGAAGGCAUCGAGACGAUCGUUACUUUUGUUGCGAUAUCUGUAUCUUCCGCACGGUUCAAUUGAAAAAGUUGAUUCAACACCGUCGUAUGCACACCGGUGAGAAACCACAUCUUUGUCCGCAUUGUGCAUAUAGAAGUGCACGACGUGAUAAUCUACGGAGUCACGUUAGGCGAGUUCAUAAGAAAGAAAAUUUAUAUUGCGAUACGUUCAGUCCACGUGGCAUGUUGAUAACGCCAACUAUGAACGAUAAAGAUGAUUCGAUCGUCGUACAAAGCCCCGCGUCUUCGCCGUCCUCUAAUCCUGAGUCGACGAAUUAGUGCUAACGAAGAAAUUAGUGCAAGGAUGAAUGACUUAGCCUCUUAACGACUUUCGGUCAGAGCUACUAUUAAAUGUAGCAUGGUAGGAAGAUCUUGAAAGUGAAUGGCUGUGAAAUGAAGAACAAGAGGCUAAAUGUAAAACUUUGAAUGAGAUUGUUUAUCUCUAUAAGAUGAAUUAUUAAAAUCAAGAUUUCUACGUAA